UACGACUACAUAUCAGGCAUAUCAAUAAGCGGAGGAAAAGAAACUAACAAGGAUUCCCUUAGUAACGGCGAGUGAAGCGGGAAGAGCUCAAAUUUGAAAUCUUCAAGGUUUUACCUUGACGAAUUGUAGUUUAAAGAAGUGUUUUCUGUUAGAGGAGUUCGGUAAAAGUUCUUUGGAAUAGGACAUCAUAGAGGGUGAGAAUCCCGUAUUUGGUCAUUCCUUCUAGCUUUGUGAUACACUUUCAAAGAGUCGGAUUGUUUGGGAAUGCAGUCCAAAAUGGGUGGUAAAUUUCAUCUAAAGCUAAAUAUUGGCGGGAGACCGAUAGCGAACAAGUACCGUGAGGGAAAGAUGAAAAGAACUUUGAAAAGAGAGUUAAACAGUACGUGAAAUUGUCAAAAGGGAAGCGUUUGACACCAGUGUUGUUUUUCCGAAAAUCAAUUAAGAAGGGCUUGAUUUUGUGUUGUAUUGACCUUAUCAGCUUUCUUCACUCUUUUUCGAGUCUUUCUUAAUGCACUUUUCGGUUAACAAGUCAACAUCAAUUUCUUUUGUUGUAAAAGGGUAUUUGGAAGGUGGCUUUCUUUUCGGAGAAAGUGUUUAUAGCCUUAUACCUCUACAAUCGGAGAGAUUGAGGUCUGCAGCGUAGAUCCUUCGGGGCUAGAUACACUUGUGCUAAGUUAUAGCUUUUCAUAGACAACUUGUUGACCAUGUUUAGUCAUGUAGCUUACCCGCUUGUGCUAUUUUACCUACGCUUAGGAUGUUGAUCUACAGAGCGAGAGU
rnacentral:rRNA from 1 species